rnacentral:lncRNA from 1 species
CGCCCCUAUACUUGAUGCCCAUGCAAUUUUGGUGGUAGUCAAACUACUGCAAUAAUAAAGUCUUAGUGAAUAGAUCUGCUAUAUUGUUCUUGAUGUCAACUCGCUCAACAAUCACAUUGCAUCUUUUGACUAUCUUCCGAAUGAGAUGGAACCACCUUAGGAUGUGUUUGGAUUUGUGAUGAGACCUUGGUUCCUUAGCUUGAGUAACUGCCCCAG